GCAUAGUGAGAACAGAAGCAAUUGGAAGCUGCUGCCCAAAGCAAGAUCCUGCCUGAGAAGCCCAGUAUCCUCAGGGGGCAAACAGGAGUGCAGGCACAAAGCUAUCAAGAUACCAUUGGGACUUCACCAGGUCCACAGGUCUGCUACGUAAUGUGUGAAUAGCUGUAUCUCACCGUGGAGUCAAGAGUUGAGCUGUUAGGAAUACUAUACGCUGGGUCCUGUGGAUCUGGGGGAUGUCCCUGACUGGGAUGAGGCACUUGCUCUUGGCUUCUCUGGAGCAACCUGAAGCAGCUUUGGUGGGACAGGUUUCCACUCCACGGUGACAGCUUUGAAAACUCGCUGACUUCUGGGGGGAUCACAGCUGAUAUUCUUGGUAGAUACAUGUUCUUGUAGUGGUGAAUAUGCCCUGGAACAAAGCUCUUCAUUCUUCCCAAAGACUUGCAGAGGGGAGGUGAUGGCACCAUCAACAGUGCCAUCAGAAGGUUUCUUCUGCCAGCCUCCCCGCCCUAUCAGCCAGGGUGACCACGUUUAUCCCUUCCACAGAUGUCCAGGAAACAAGGCCAAGCCUUUGCUGUCAAGGGCAUAAAGGGCAUGUAUAUCAUAGGCUUUAAAAUUCAGGAUCCCACCAGAUCCAGUAACUUUGAUAUGGGUAAAAACUCACUUCCGAAGUACCUCUAACGUGAUUGAAGGGAACCAGGAGAACAAACACCUGCUUGCACUGCUAGCUUCCCAGACUAGCCAGUCAUCCUUCCUGCUGAAAAUCCAAGUCUUUAUUUCUAAUUUUAGCCUGUCUGUCUGCAGCUCUCAGACCUUGGCUCUAAUGCCUUGGCUCUAAUGUUCCCAGUUUUCUCUCCCUUGAAAGGUGCUUACACAGUGUACACAAGACGCUUCUCAACCUUUCUGACUGAUCGUGGUCCUGGGAGAAGGCCCCAGGCCCUCCAAGGCCACUGACUCCAGUCUGCUGUCACAGUGGGUGGUGAAAUCCUUUUCCUGCACUGACAGACUGGGCAACCCUGCUCUGCAGGGCUCUGGCUGGAAGGAAUCCUUCCCGGGGACUUGAGCAAUUUCCGUGAUUUUCUAUCCACACUGGUUUUUAAUAACUUCUUAAAAACAUGUUCAGCAAAGCUGGGAAGAGUAUUCCAGAACUGGUCACAGCAAGGAUCCUCCUGAUGUAGUCAGGACGUUCAACUCCUCCCUUUUACACCUUCCUGUUAAUAUAAAAAUCAGGGAAGCCAGGCCUGGAGCAGGACACUGCGUUGCAGGUACUGUUUUCCAACAUUUUAUUGUGCCUGAUCCAGAUGGCUGAGGCUGCUCAGAUUGUGCUGGGGGAGUGCAGCCUUUUUUCCUCUUCGUGGAUUUUCUGUGGACAGGUUACAAAUUCUCAGGCUUUAUUUUCUGUGCUAAAUCAGCCUGAGAGCUGCCACUUCCCAAGAAGUGUAAGUGCCAGCGAGGUGUCCUCUCCAUCCCUUGCCUGGGUGCCAAGGAGUCUUGCCAGCUGAUGGAGGAGAAGGGAAGGAGUCAAGGGCAGAGGGAUCUCCAACAUGAGGAGAAAGUGGGGAAUGUUUGCCCUACGUGGGGAUGCUUGGGGAACCUAGCUCAGCUUCUCACACUGCCUGACAUUCUUCAGUCUGUUGUACUUCAGUGAUGUUCCUGGAGACUUCUCAAGCUAGUAAAAUCUCGUGCUUGCAGCAAGUGACCACGAGGAUCCUGAGCAAGAUGGAAUCAGGUUCAUCUUUCACCUGAGACAAGUAUUGGUGAAAAAUCUUUACUAUACCUCUUCUGGCUCCUGUCCCCAGUCCUCUUCUCCUUGUCUUUCUAACUGAAUUCAGCAGUCUGUUUGUGGAUGUCAUGUUUAGUCCAAAACCUGCAGAGAGGCAGUAGACACAGAAUUCUUGUUUACAGCAGUGGCCUCAGGCUAGGCCAGGAAAGGACAGUGACCCCUACUCUUUUUUCCUGGGAGGACAACAUGGAUCCAGGAGUGCUGUCCACAGAGGAGUGCUUCCACAGAGGAGUAGCGCACUCGGGACACUACAAAUUUGCAAAAUGCCAUACAAAUGCAGCAACCACUGCAGAACUGUCUGGUGUGCUAGUGAAGCAGAGUCCAGGAAUGAAUGAAGGCUGACUUGCAUCAAUACUAAAGAAGAAAAUUUAUCUUUGUGAGUGGGAGAAGUCGAACCUGUCUUCCUGCUAUGGGACAGGGAGAAGAGCUGUCAUCCCAAGGAUGCUCACUCCUAGUCCUUCUCCCAUACUUUCUCCACAGAAUUUGUGCCAGGAAGGGGCAGGAAAUCCAGCCCUUGUCUGCCCACAUGGUGUUCUCAGCAUGGACAACAUCUGUCUGAUAUAAUCCCUCCUUGACUUCUACCAGGUGUAGAGCACAACAUCCCGUCUGCUCUUCCACAGGCGGUGAUAAUGAGUCCUUUACAACAAGUGAAUGUUGCACUUACUUCCCUGCUCUCUAUUUCUGCAGGCUGCUGGUCCAUCUGGUGCCUUUCAUGGCUAAGACAGAAAACAGCCAGGUUUUGUCUCCUCUGUUUUGCUGGUAAUAUUAGCCCCCAAGGCUCUAUGCCUAUAAGGGUUGCUGCAUGCCUUUGACUUGGAUCUGCGAGCUGCUUUGCAGGUCAGUAAUAAAGAGGGGUCUCCCCUGAUCAUUGUUCUUGAAGAAAAAAUCCUGAAGUGAUCCUGCCCAGUGAAGCAGGAUGGUUGGCACAAUGCCAUGCCAUAGCUGGCAGCUCCGAGCCCCAGGUGCCAGCCCCAGUGAGGUGUGCUGGUCUUGCCUUCAGGUUCUCCUGUGCUUUGAGUCACUUCCACAGCCCUUGGGAAGAAAGACUGGCCUGGGUGUGCAACCUCUUGGUUUUUCUACCUCCACCAGAGGCACAGAGACUUCCUGCAGAGAAAGGCUGAAAGUAAACUGUCUUGCCAGUGGCUCCUCUGCAUGAGCUCUUUGCAGGUGACAGAGCCCUGGCACAGGCUGCCCAGAGGCUGUGGGGUCUCCUCCUUGGAGCCCUUCAGCAGCCGCCUGGACGUGGUGCUGGGCACCCUGCUCUGGGUGUCCCUGCUUGGGCACGGGUGGCACCGGCUGGCUCCAGAGGGCCCUGCCAGCCUCAGCCAUCCUGGGUCUCUGUGAAUCAAAUCAGCAGACUUAAUAACAAAAAAAAUAAAAAUAAAAAUGUGAUUUUGCUUAACCCUCAGGACUGUCACCCCUGGGCAGCUGACACACCAUGAGAGGGGCAUUGCAGGAAUCGCUGCUGCAACCGCUGCUACAGCACUGCUUUCCGUGGUGCAGAAAAUGGUGUGGCAAACUGUGUGAUAAAAGGUGUUUAUCACUCCUAGACCUGUACAGUCAACUUAGGACCCAUCAACCUUAACUCACCCACCCCGACUGCCUUGCAGCCAUCUGUGCCUGCAGGGACUCACUACAUCAGCUGUGAUGACAACUGGAACUGGCCCCAUCUUUUAUGAAAAGCCUCCACCUCUUCCAAAAUGAAGUGGCAUAUGUCUCAUAAACCUUUCUUUCUUGGCUCUGGUGAGAGAUGUGUGUCAGGGCACAGACAAGAGGAACACAUUCCGGCACAGAUGUACA